UUGGAGGGCAAGUCUGGUGCCAGCAGCCGCGGUAAUUCCAGCUCCAAUAGCGUAUAUUAAAGUUGUUGCAGUUAAAAAGCUCGUAGUUGAAUUUCGGGAUUCUACCGUUGGUCGGGCUAACAAGUCUGUACUGGUGUGUAGAAUUUCUACCUUCUGGGGAACUAUCAUGUUAUUAAUUUAGCGUGGUGGGAAACCAGGACCUUUACCUUGAAAAAAUUAGAGUGUUCAAAGCAGGCUUACGUCUGAAUACAUUAGCAUGGAAUAAUAGAAUAGGACGGUGGUCCUGUUCUGUUGGUUUCUGAAUCACCGUAAUGAUUAAUAGGGAUAGUUGGGGGCAUUAGUAUUCAAUUGUCAGAGGUGAAAUUCUUGGAUUUAUUGAAGACUAACUUCUGCGAAAGCAUUUGCCAAGGAUGUUUUCAUUAAUCAAGAACAAAGUUAGGGGAUCGAAGACGAUCAGAUACCGUCGUAGUCUUAACCAUAAACUAUGCCGACUAGGGAUCGGACGAUGUUAAAUUUUAUUGACUCGUUCGGCGCCUUACGGGAAACCAAAGUGUUUGGGUUC
rnacentral:rRNA from 1 species